UACGAAGGGGGCUAGCGUUGCUCGGAAUCACUGGGCGUAAAGGGUGCGUAGGCGGGUUUUUAAGUCAGGGGUGAAAUCCUGGAGCUCAACUCUAGAACUGCCUUUGAUACUGAAGAUCUUGAGUCCGGGAGAGGUGAGUGGAACUGCGAGUGUAGAGGUGAAAUUCGUAGAUAUUCGCAAGAACACCAGUGGCGAAGGCGGCUCACUGGCCCGGGUACUGACGCUGAGGCACGAAAGCGUUGGGGGAGCAAACAGG
rnacentral:rRNA from 1 species